CCUACGGGAGGCAGCAGUGGGGAAUAUUGGACAAUGGGGGCAACCCUGAUCCAGCAAUGCCGCGUGUGUGAAGAAGGCCUGCGGGUUGUAAAGCACUUUCAGUAGGGAAGAAAAGCUCGGGGUUAAUACCCCGGGUCUUGACGUUACCUAAAGAAGAAGCACCGGCUAACUCCGUGC
rnacentral:rRNA from 1 species